UUAAAUUCUGUGAACAGGAAGAGUAGUUGGAAUUUUCUAUACUUAGCGAGUCGGGUUUGGUGUGAGCCGAUUGUAGGAAGUCUAAUGAAUGGACCUGUGAGAAGCCGGAUGAACUCUUAUUGAAGAAAGUAUUCUUGGCCGGGUAGUCUCCCGUUAUAGGGACAGGAUAUCGAGAUUUAUCUCUGUAUCUGCUGAGGAUAGAUAAUUUUUAUUAUCUAAAAUUGGGUGGCACCGCGAUAGCUCAUGGCUUUUCGUCCCAUUA
rnacentral:ncRNA from 1 species